UUGAACGCUGGCGGCAGGCCUAACACAUGCAAGUCGAGCGGAUGAAGGGAGCUUGCUCCUGGAUUCAGCGGCGGACGGGUGAGUAAUGCCUAGGAAUCUGCCUGGUAGUGGGGGAUAACGUCCGGAAACGGGCGCUAAUACCGCAUACGUCCUGAGGGAGAAAGUGGGGGAUCUUCGGAUCUCACGCUAUCAGAUGAGCCUAGGUCGGAUUAGCUAGUUGGUGGGGUAAAGGCCUACCAAGGCGACGAUCCGUAACUGGUCUGAGAGGAUGAUCAGUCACACUGGAACUGAGACACGGUCCAGACUCCUACGGGAGGCAGCAGUGGGGAAUAUUGGACAAUGGGCGAAAGCCUGAUCCAGCCAUGCCGCGUGUGUGAAGAAGGUCUUCGGAUUGUAAAGCACUUUAAGUUGGGAGGAAGGGCAGUAAGUUAAUACCUUGCUGUUUUGACGUUACCAACAGAAUAAGCACCGGCUAACUUCGUG
rnacentral:rRNA from 1 species